rnacentral:rRNA from 1 species
UGACGGUACCGUAGGAAUAAGCAUCGGCUAACUCCGUGCCAGCAGCCGCGGUAAUACGGAGGAUGCGAGCGUUAUCCGUAAUUAUUGGGCGUAAAGAGUCCGUAGGCGUUUUGUUAAGUAGAAUAUCAAAGACCAGAGCUCAACUCUGGGCCGGUGUUCUAAACUGGCGAAAUUGAGUUAUGCAGAGGCAAGUGGAAUUCUGUGUGUAGGGGUUAUAUCCGUAGAUAUACAGAGGAACACCAAAAGCGAAGGCAGCUUGCUGGGCAUAUACUGACGCUCAAGGACGAAAGCGUGGGGAGCGAACAGGAUUAGAUACCCUGGUAGUCCACGCCCUAAACGAUGAUUACUCGUUGUCGGAGGCUUCGACCCCUUCGGUGACUAAGCUAACGCUUUAAGUAAUCCGCCUGGGUAGUACGGCCGCAAGGUUAAAACUCGAAGGAAUAGACGGGGACCCACACAAGCGGUGGAGCAUCUGGCUUAAUUCGACAAUAAGCGAAAAACCUCACCAAGAUUUGACAUCCCGAGAAGAUUGCCGAAAGGUGAUUGUGCCGUAAGGAACUCGGUGACAGGUGCUGCAUGGUUGUCGUCAGCUCGUGCCUUGAGGUGUUCGGUUAAGUCCGUAAACGAGCGCAACCCAUGUCUUAAGUUGUAUUUUUCUUAAGAGACUGCCGGCUUCAAGUCGGAGGAAGGUAUGGAUGACGUCAAAUCAGCAUGGCCCUUAUAUCUUGGGCUACACAGGUGCUACAAUGGCCGGUACAAAAGGCUGCGAAGGGGUAACCCUGAGCCAAUCCCUAAAACCGGUCCAAGUUCGGAUUGAGGGCUGAAAUUCGCCCUCAUGAAGCUGGAAUCGCUAGUAAACGUGAAUCAGCAUGUCACGUUGAAUACGUUCCUGGGUCUUGUACUCACCGCCCGCCAAGUCAUGAAAGAUGGGGGCGCCCGAAGUC